UUUAACGGAGGGGGAAAAAAACUACGUUUCAAGAAAAAUCGGUAUACGUGUGGACAGGGCCUAAAAUGUGGGGAAUAUUUUUACGCUUUUCAUAAACACUCUCACCGUUGGAUUUCUGUAAACAAGAGAAGUCUGUUCAUGUCUUUCAAUAUAUUUUUAGGCAUAAAUUAAGUUCUACAUCAUGACUGUUUUUGUUUCAGGAUUACAAUGCAGUUAUCUGCUGUUAUAUGUUAUCAUUGCAGGACUGAUUUGUCUGAAUGUACUGACAAUUGUAUUCAGUAGUAAGGUGAGUAUAUCUUUUCAAUUUGAUCUUUUAUUUAUUAAAUGUUGACAAAAUAUACCUUUAUCAUACAAACAUAAAUAAUAAAACAAAUUAUUAUUUUUUAUUGUACCUCGUUUUAGCAGAUGUUUCAACUGAAAACCAAUUUGCAAUCACAACCUGAAGAAUCAAAGUGGAUGAGAAUGCAAGUGUUGCCAGUCAUUGAAAUGAUAUAGUAGUAUAGAGUAUUAUAGAGAGUAUUAUAGUUACAAAAAGGCAAUUAUUCUUUCAGUAAAAUGUCACUAAAAUUAAAACCAUCCCUUAAAGUAUAUGACUGAGGUCUGCAGAGGCAUAUUAUAUGAGCAGAGGCAAUAACACAUUCUCUCUCUACUCUGAUUUUCACGUUUCCAGGUUGUCUAGGAGACUGAAGGUGAGUCUCACCAUCCUUUCCUCCUCUUCCUCUUCUGAAACACUUUGUCUGCAGCUCAGCCUGAUUUCACCUCUAUUUUACAUUCACACCAUCUGUGCGUCUUUUCCUUUAAAGGGAGGGAGGGACGGGGAAACAUAUGCCAGUCUGCAGCUCCCCAACAUGAGCCCUGAAUAUGACGUGCUGCAGGUAAAAAAACAAGUAUCAUAAAGACACUGUGACUUCACAAGAAGAGGACAAUGACUACCAGAACCUUUGAAAUGGAAACUGAGACCAGUUGCUGUGUCUCAUUAAAAAUAUAAGCACGUUGUGUUUCCUUAAAACCUGUUGUCUGAAGAAAAUAACCACUGAAUGUGGAGUGUCACCUUUCUGUAUUUGUCCACAGGAGAGGAGAUGUUCAUUUUGUUUCUUGGAGAAAAGAAGUUUGAUGCAUCUUGAUUUUUCAUCCUCCUUACACAAUCAUUUUUGCUCACUGUUUUUUACUGACCCUGUCCCUGUAUUGAUUUAAUGACUGUUGUGCACCUUUGUAUUUCACAUACAUUAGGCAGUUAUGGAGAACACGAAAAUGUUUCAUUCUAUUCCUCAAAUGGAAUAUAAAAAAGGAAAAAUAAAUUGGAAAAAUGAAACAAAAAAAAACA